AAAAAAAUUAGUCAGCUAGAAUGUCGUGUUCUGAGAAAAAUUUCUCAGCUUAUUUUUCUAAUACAUCAAUUUGAAACUUUAUUUUGGUUUACUUUAUUAUAUUCUUUAGGUUGUAUUUAUCUUAAUAAGCAGUAGCCUUUAAUUUUUCGUAUUAGUAGUUUGAUUGUAAUAAAUAUAUUUUCUUAUUCUUUUCCCUUAGGCUGGUUUU
rnacentral:misc_RNA from 1 species